rnacentral:tRNA from 1 species
GUUAGGAUGGCAGUGCCCGCUGACGGCAAAAGGCCUAAGCCAGGACCACAGAGGUUCAAGUCCUCUUCUUAACU